CUGAGGGGUCAUCUCUGCCCACCGCGGGGCCCCUCUACCCCGGCUGGCGGUCCCCUUUUUGAAGAGACCUUUCCCUUCUGCUCCCUAGCUAGCUCCUCCUCCUUCAAGCGGCGACUUCAGCAGCUCCUCCUCCGGGAAGCCUUCCCAGACCACCAGUGACUCCUCUAACCUCUGGAGAGCCCUCGCAACGCUUGCUGCUCACCCCAUUCCUCUUACUAGAGUGCGAGCGGCACCGGUCUGGAGGGGCUUCCAUCCCCGGUGCGCAGGCAGAGCCUGGUUCGUUCAGUGAUUGUUGUCUAGGAGGAUCCACUGAGUCUACUCAGUUCGGCGUGAACGCUGGUCACUGCACAGGGGCCGUGACCCUGUCCUUCGGGUGAGCAAAUCCAGCCAGCGUGUCAGCUACUGCUUUGAACUGGAAAGCACUUUUGUUCCCAUCAGGCCAGGCACCUUGUAAGUGCCAAAAAAUAAAUUGCAAACCCAGUUCAGCCCA